rnacentral:piRNA from 1 species
GGAUUAAAAGAGUAUGCCCCCCAC